rnacentral:rRNA from 1 species
AUGCAAGUCGAACGGCAGCGCGGGGCAACCUGGCGGCGAGUGGCGAACGGGUGAGUAAUACAUCGGAACGUGCCCUGUGAUGGGGGAUAACUACGCGAAAGCGUAGCUAAUACCGCAUACGACCCAAGGGUGAAAGUGGGGGAUCGCAAGACCUCACGUCAUAGGAGCGGCCGAUGGCGGAUUAGCUAGUUGGUGAGGUAAAGGCUUACCAAGGCGACGAUCCGUAGCUGGUCUGAGAGGACGACCAGCCACACUGGGACUGAGACACGGCCCAGACUCCUACGGGAGGCAGCAGUGGGGAAUCUUGGACAAUGGGGGCAACCCUGAUCCAGCAAUGCCGCGUGUGGGAUGAAGGCCUUCGGGUUGUAAACCACUUUUGGCGGGGGCGAAAUAUCGAGUGCUAAUACCAUUCGGUGAUGACGGUACCCGCAGAAUAAGCACCGGCUAACUACGUGCCAGCAGCCCGGG